UACGUAGGGUGCGAGCGUUAAUCGGAAUUACUGGGCGUAAAGCGUGCGCAGGCGGUUUUGUAAGCCAGAUGUGAAAUCCCCGGGCUUAACCUGGGAAUGGCAUUUGGGACUGCAAGGCUGGAGUGCGGCAGAGGAGAUUGGAAUUCCUGGUGUAGCGGUGGAAUGCGCAGAUAUCAGGAGGAACACCGAUGGCGAAGGCAGAUCUCUGGGCCUAACUGACGCUGAGGAGCGAAAGCAUGGGGGAGCGAACAGG
rnacentral:rRNA from 1 species